rnacentral:tRNA from 1 species
GCGCCCGUAGCUCAGAUGGACAGAGCAGGAGCCUUCUAAGCUCUUGGCCGGGGGUUCGACUCCUCCCGGGCGCGCCA